rnacentral:rRNA from 1 species
GACGAACGCUGGCGGCGUGCUUAACACAUGCAAGUCGAACGAAGUGGCGAACGGGUGAGUAACGCGUAAUCAACCUGCCCUUCAGAGGGGGACAACAGUUGGAAACGAUUGCUAAUACCGCAUACUGAAGGUGGGGAUUGCGUCUGAUUAGGUAGUUGGAGGGGUAACGGCCCACCAAGGCGAUGAUCAGUAGCCUGGCUGGAGGGAUGAACGGCCACAGUGGGACUGGGACACGGCCCAGACUCCUACGGGAGGCAGCAGUGGGGAAUCUUCCGCAAAGGACGAAAGGCUGACGGAGCAACGCCGCGGGAGUGAUGACGGCUUUCGGGUUGGAAAGCUCUGUUAAUCGGGACGCGGUACCGGAAUAGAAAGCCACGGCUAACUACGUGCCAGCAGCCGCGGUAAUUC